rnacentral:lncRNA from 1 species
ACCUUAAAGUUGCUGGAAGUUGACAGCCUGCAUCCGGGACGGAGCUGGGAGUCGGGGCUCUUUCCCAGCCCGCUCCUCCGGCGCCUCUCUCGCUCCCUUCCCGGCCACUGCUCCGUUUUAGUCCUGAGGAGGCAGCGAGCUGGCUCGGUUUGGGAAUCCUCGUGUACACCCCUCCCUUCUCCUCCGCGGGCUGAAUCAGCUUCUUUUACACCACCGGCAGCUGGACUGUGGCAGGGGCAGGUCUGCUUCUCUGCAGCUGAGAUGAGCUAAAAAGAAAAAAAAAACCGCUGGCGCAAAUGGGAACCCGUAAGCUGUAAAGUUAAAGAAAAGUCGACUUCCGUUGUCAUUUGCUGCUCCGAGUGCAAAUGAGGAUUUGUCGAAGCCAUGCUCAUCUCACUGCUGCUUUCUCCCACAGUCUGCUCUUGUCUUGCUGUUUGGCACAAAACAAGAAAGAAAAAACAAACCGAGGGGGGCAUGUUGGCAAGCAGAUCUUUAACCUACAGCAGUAAAACCGGG